GACGAACGCUGGCGGCGUGCUUAACACAUGCAAGUCGAACGGAAAGGCCCUGCUUGUGUGUGGUGCUCGAGUGGCGAACGGGUGAGUAACACGUGAGUAACCUGCCCUGGACGUUGGGAUAACGUCAGGGAACUGGGGAUAAUACCGGAUAGGAGCUCCUGAGGCAGGGAGGGGGUUGGAAAGUUUCGGCGGUUUGGGAUGGACUCGCGGCUUAUCAGCUUGUGGGUGGGGUAGUGGUUUACCAAGGCUUUGACGGGUAGCCGGCAUGAGAGGGUGAACGCCCACAUUGGGACUGCGAGACGGCCCAGACUGCUACGGGAGGCAGCAGUGGGGAGUCUUGCACAAUGGGCGGACGCGUGAUGCAGCAACGCCGCGUGCGUGAUGACGGCCUUCGGGUUGUAAACCGCUUUCGCUUGUGACGAAGCGUGAGUGACGGUAACGUGUAAAGAAGCACCGGCUAACUACGUG
rnacentral:rRNA from 1 species